rnacentral:tRNA from 1 species
CGGGGUGUAGCUCAGUCUGGUUAGAGCUUCCGGCCUGGGACCGGAAGGUCGGAGGUUCAACUCCUCUCACCCCGA